AUGGCUCAGAACGAACGCUGGCGGCGCGCUUAAGCAUGCAAGUCGAACGGCAAGAGGUAGCAAUACCUCCUAGAGUGGCGGACUGGUGAGUAACACGUGGGUGACAUACCCUUCAGGAUGGGGAUAGCUAUUAGAAAUAGUAGAUAAUACCGAAUACGAGCACAGGGGUUAGAGAUCUGUGAGGAAAGGAGCUAAGGCUCCGCUGAAGGAAUGGCCUGCGGCCCAUUAGCUAGUUGGUGAGGUAAGAGCCCACCAAGGCGAUGAUGGGUAUCCGGCCUUAGAGGGUGAACGGACACAUUGGGACUGAGAUACGGCCCAGACUCCUACGGGAGGCAGCAGCUAAGAAUAUUCCGCAAUGGACGAAAGUCUGACGGAGCGACGCCGCGUGGAUGAAGAAGGCCGGAAGGUUGUAAAAUCCUUUUGAAACUGAAGAAUAAGCGUUGUAGGGAAUGACAGCGUGGUGACAGUAGGUUUUGAAUAAGCAACGGCUAAUUACGUGCCAGCAGCCGC
rnacentral:rRNA from 1 species